rnacentral:rRNA from 1 species
CCUACGGGAGGCAGCAGUGGGGAAUAUUGGACAAUGGGCGCAAGCCUGAUCCAGCCAUGCCGCGUGAGUGAUGAAGGUCUUAGGAUUGUAAAGCUCUUCACCGAGAAGAUAAUGACGGUAUCCGAGAAAAAGCNCNNNC